GUUGUGGACUGUCACAUGUGUGGGGACCCAAAUUUAGUCCUUAGGUUUGCUUUCAUAGAGUUCACUGAUGAGGUCUAACGAUGAACAUGAAAUGUGUGCAAGGACUAUCUACUGCACAAACAUUGACAAGAAGGUCACUCAAGCAGAUCUAAAGUUAUUCUUUGAGUCCAUAUGUGGUGAGGUUGGUCGUUCUUUACUCCAAACACAAUCUCCCUUCUGUAUAGCUAAAAGUUUGCAGAAAUGGCACCAUCAAGAUCGAUCUGGAGACCAACAAGAUCAUGGACUUCAUCAAGUUUGACGUCGACAACGUGGUCAUGAUGAGCGGCGGGAGGAACACCGGGCAUGUAGGAGUGAUCAAGAACAGGGAGAAGCACAAGGGCAGCUUCGAGACCAUCCACGUGCUGCUUGGAGCUUUUUGCUAUGUCUAGUUUUCUCCUAUUUGUUGUACAGGAAAACAUAGAAUGGAAUUCAAAUUUGGUGGCCG